GAAGGCUGGAGCUAAAAGAAGGGAAAG
rnacentral:piRNA from 1 species